CGAAGGGGGCUAGCGUUGUUCGGAAUCACUGGGCGUAAAGGGCGCGUAGGCGGCCUGAUAAGUCGGGGGUGAAAGCCUGUGGCUCAACCACAGAAUUGCCUUCGAUACUGUCGGGCUUGAGACCGGAAGAGGUAAGUGGAACUGCGAGUGUAGAGGUGAAAUUCGUAGAUAUUCGGAGGAACACCAGUGGCGAAGGCGACUCGCUGGACUGAUACUGACGCUGAGGUGCGAAAGCGUGGGGAGCAAACAGG
rnacentral:rRNA from 1 species